GGCUCUUAUUAUUGGUAUGUAGAGAAAAUAGAAACGUGAUAUGGGACACUGUAAUUCUGUAGCAUAUUUUGAGGAAAUAUUGGAUAAAAGCGUCUGCAAAAUAAAGUAAAGUAAAGUAAAGAGGAAAUACGAAUUCCCAGUCCCGCUUGCUCGUCUUUUGCCGCCAGGUGGCGGUAUUUACGCACGUCUGUACUUGUCGCCGAAUGCACUGAAAUAAAUGACGUGUGUAAUUAAUAAUCUCUAAUCAAACUCUCAGUACUGAACAGAAUCCCGUCUCGCAACGAGCGAGCAGCACGAGGGAAGCCCGGUUCCGUCCAAACUCUCCCGUUACAUGAUCUGAUCUGCAGGGUGCCAAGGUUCCACGGUGCAGUGGGGACACUCUCAGUCCAGGACUACACCAGACAACGACGAACAAACACCUCCGACUUUACUGCAGCCGUGUGCCUGUUAAGCAGACCUGGCCGGAGAUGAUGGGUGCGAAGCCACCUGAAGAUCCGUCCUUCACCCACAGCCUCUGAAGAAAGAACAUAUCUCCAGGAAAAGACCUGCCUGGGAAUAUCUUUCGAUAAAUGAAACAGCAAAAUAACAUAAUAUAUAUACGCUGUAAUAAUAAUAAACCUAACCUUGUUGUAUAAAUAUGCAUGUGUCCCGGGCGCCAGACCGCGACCGGACGGGGACAUGUGCAGAUGACGCGCCGCCGCUGGACUGGACUGUCGCGCGCACGGCCGCUACGGGAGCGCGCGCACCGGGAGCGCGAUCGGCCUGGCGUCCGCCGCCGCCCGGAGCUCGGACCAGGAGCUCGGUGGACGCGGUGGUCGUGUAUGUCGCUGCUACUACCUGAAAGGUAA
rnacentral:lncRNA from 1 species